ensembl:lncRNA novel transcript
CAGGUGAGGAAGCCAUGGUUUAAAGCAGAGAUCACCAACUGCUGGACCACAGACCUGCACGAGUUCACGGCCUGUUAGGAACCGAGCCACACAGCAGGAGCACAUGCUCCUCUGCAGAAAGUGAUGGGGCUGCCUUGCCAGCUGGAGCCUGAAACUGUGCCCAGGUGCCAGCAGGACCAUCAAAUGUAGCUGUCUAGCCAGCAGCUGGAUACAUGGACCGACAGCUCAGAAAGGAGCUCAGUGCUAAACGGCAGUCUGGGAAGACAUCUGCAAAGAGGGCCUGAUGGCAGUCCUGGGAGUGGGUGAGAUCACGAAGCAGGAAGGAGAGAAAACAAGAGGCCAAAGGGCAAGAGUCUCGAGGAUGCCAACACUUACGGGAAGAGAACAAGCAACUGUUGGAGAGAGAAAAGGAAAAUGGGGAAAGUUCAGGAUCCCUAUCGCCAAGGAGGAGGGUUUCAGCAGGGCCAGAUGCUUCCAAGAUCAAGCCCGAGAAGAGCCUGCAAUCCAGCAGCAAUAGGAGGUCACAGGAGUUCUCAGAGGAUCCACGGACUGUGACGUGCUGAGGGCGGAUCCAGAUUGUGCCGAUUAAGAAAGAAGUGGGUGGUGAGAUCCGGAAGCCGCCAGUAAAACACUCUU